AGGUGCUGCAUGCUGUCGUCAGCUCGUGUCGUGAGAUGUUGGGUUAAGUCCCGCAACGAGCGCAACCCUUGCCAUUAGUUGCUACGAAAGGGCACUCUAAUGGGACUGCCGGUGACAAACCGGAGGAAGGUGGGGAUGACGUCAAGUCCUCAUGGCCCUUAUAGGUGGGGCUACACACGUCAUACAAUGGCCGGUACAGAGGGUAGCCAACCCGCGAGGGGGAGCCAAUCCCACAAAGCCGGUCGUAGUCCGGAUCGCAGUCUGCAACUCGACUGCGUGAAGUCGGAAUCGCUAGUAAUCGCGGAUCAGCAUGUCGCGGUGAAUACGUUCCCGGGUCUU
rnacentral:rRNA from 1 species